rnacentral:rRNA from 1 species
CAGCGAUGUCUGAGCAAAUUAUUUAAAUAAGCAAAACUUUCAACAACGGAUCUCUUGGUUCCGGCAUCGAUGAAGAACGCAGCGAAAUGCGAUAAGUAAUGUGGACCGCAGUACUCAGCGACUCAUCGAAUCUUUGAACGCACAUUGCGCCCCUU